AUGCCGCCGCUGGAGGCCCUCCUCGGCGCCGCCGAGCUCUGGCGCCCCGCCGCGCGCGGGGCCGGCGGCUGGGCCACCGCCGCCGCGCUCCUCCUGCUCCUCGUUGCCCACCUCUCCGUCCUCCUCGUCCGCCGCCGCAGCCGGGGGCGGGCCCGCCUCGCCCGGCAGCAGGAGGACGCCCCCGCGGCGCCCGCCCCCGCCCCACCCUCCUCCGGGUCCGGCUCCAGCUCAGGGGUGGAGGGCCUCGUGACGGAGGACGAUCUGAGGCAGCUGGUGGGCAGCCUGGGGGUCGGCGCCCGCCAGCCGGAGCUCGAGGGCUGGGACCCCGUCAUCGCCAAGGGGAACGACGCCGUCUCCUACAAGGCGUGGUGCGAGAGGACCGCGGAUGGCACACCUAGAUAUCUUAGUGUGACAACUUAUGAGGGAUGCUCAACAGAGCUUUUGAGGGACUUUUACAUGGAUAAUGAGUACAGGAUGGAGUGGGAUAACACUGUGAUAAAGCAUGAGCAGCUACAGUGUGAUGAAAAUAGCGGAAUUGAGAUAGGGCGUACGGUUAAGAAGUUCCCUCUUUUAACACCAAGGGAGUACAUAUUGGCAUGGCGAGUUUGGGCAUCAGAUGAGAACUCUUUCUAUUGCUUGGUAAAGGAAUGUGUGCACUCUCUUGCGCCAAGACAAAGAAAAUUUGUUCGAGUACGACUUCUGAGAUCGGGGUGGUGUAUUAGGAAAGUCCCUGGAAGAGACGCAUGUGAAAUCACCGUGCUGCACCAUGAAGACAAUGGCAUGAACAUCGAGAUGGCAAAGCUGGCCUUUUCCAAGGGCAUCUGGAAUUAUAUUUGUAAGAUGAACAAUGCUUUACGCCGGUAUCCUCAGCAGCGUGGUCCGUCGAUAUCAAUUUCGACCAUGCGAAGACUUACCAAGAAGUUUCCCCAGGACUUGCAGAGCAACGUGGAUGAAAGUAAUCGAUCUCCAGUGAAUACAGCUGCGGCUGUUGCUCCUCCUACACCUUCAUCCGGAACUUCUCCCUGCAAGCAGCUAGGGAAGAAGUCAUCACGGGAAACGAUUGCAAGUGGACUUUUGCUAAUUGGAAGCAUCGUUUGUCUGUCGAAAGGCCGAUCUAACCUCGGCGCACAGCUUGCCAUGGCAUUCUUCCUGAAGAAGGCCUUUAAGCAGGACAAAGAACCAGGCUCUUCGCCAAGGGGAAGAACUGAUGCGACGGUGCCCAUGCAGUAG
rnacentral:rRNA from 1 species